GGGUGAGUAAUGUCUGGGAAACUGCCUGAUGGAGGGGGAUAACUACUGGAAACGGUAGCUAAUACCGCAUAACGUCGCAAGACCAAAGAGGGGGACCUUCGGGCCUCUUGCCAUCGGAUGUGCCCAGAUGGGAUUAGCUAGUAGGUGGGGUAACGGCUCACCUAGGCGACGAUCCCUAGCUGGUCUGAGAGGAUGACCAGCCACACUGGAACUGAGACACGGUCCAGACUCCUACGGGAGGCAGCAGUGGGGAAUAUUGCACAAUGGGCGCAAGCCUGAUGCAGCCAUGCCGCGUGUAUGAAGAAGGCCUUCGGGUUGUAAAGUACUUUCAGCGGGGAGGAAGGGAGUAAAGUUAAUACCUUUGCUCAUUGACGUUACCCGCAGAAGAAGCACCGGCUAACUCCGUGCCAGCAGCCGCGGUAAUACGGAGGGUGCAAGCGUUAAUCGGAAUUACUGGGCGUAAAGCGCACGCAGGCGGUUUGUUAAGUCAGAUGUGAAAUCCCCGGGCUCAACCUGGGAACUGCAUCUGAUACUGGCAAGCUUGAGUCUCGUAGAGGGGGGUAGAAUUCCAGGUGUAGCGGUGAAAUGCGUAGAGAUCUG
rnacentral:rRNA from 1 species